CGCCCGCCGCGCCCCGCGCCCGUCCCGCCGCCCCCGCCCGCCCUACGGGGCGCAGCAGGCGCGAAAACUUUACAAUGCGGGAAACCGUGAUAGGGGAACCCCGAGUGCCCGUAAAAUCGGGCUGUCCAUCUGUGUAAAUAACAGGUGAAGAAAGGGCCGGGCAAGACCGGUGCCAGCCGCCGCGGUAAUACCGGCGGCUCGAGUGGUGGCCACUAUUACUGGGCUUAAAGCGUCCGUAGCUGGAUUGUUAAGUCCCUUGG
rnacentral:rRNA from 1 species